GAUGAAGAACGUAGCAAAAUGCGAUAAGUAAUGUGAAUUGCAGAAUUCAGUGAAUCAUCGAAUCUUUGAACGCACAUUGCGCCCGCUGGUAUUCCGGCGGGCAUGCCUGUUCGAGCGUCAUUUCAACCCUCAAGCCCCCGGGUUUGGUGUUGGGGAUCGGCUCUGCCCUUCUGGGCGGUGCCGCCCCCGAAAUACAUUGGCGGUCUCGCUGCAGCCUCCAUUGCGUAGUAGCUAACACCUCGCAACUGGAACGCGGCGCGGCCAUGCCGUAAAACCCCAACUUCUGAAUGUUGACCUCGGAUCAGGUAGGAAAACCCGCUGAACUUAAGCAUAUCAAUAAGCGGAGGA
rnacentral:misc_RNA from 1 species